GAUGAACGCUGGCGGCGUGCUUAACACAUGCAAGUCGAACGGAAAGACCCAAGCUUGCUUGGGUACUCGAGUGGCGAACGGGUGAGUAACACGUGGGUGAUCUGCCCUGCACUUCGGGAUAAGCCUGGGAAACUGGGUCUAAUACCGGAUAGGACCACAUUUUGGAUGGUGUGGUGGAAAGUUUUUCGGUGUGGGAUGAGCUCGCGGCCUAUCAGCUUGUUGGUGGGGUAAUGGCCUACCAAGGCGUCGACGGGUAGCCGGCCUGAGAGGGUGUACGGCCACAUUGGGACUGAGAUACGGCCCAGACUCCUACGGGAGGCAGCGGUGGGGAAUAUUGCACAAUGGGCGCAAGCCUGAUGCAGCGACGCCGCGUGGGGGAUGACGGCCUUCGGGUUGUAAACUCCUUUCGCUAGGGACGAAGCGUUAUGUGACGGUACCUGGAGAAGAAGCACCGGCUAACUACGUG
rnacentral:rRNA from 1 species